CUGGUCCCGGAGUCGCCGCUGGGCCUGUCCGCCGGCGUCAUGGCACCCAAAAAGAAAGGGAAGAAAGGCAAAGCCAAAGGCACCCCGAUUGUCGAUGGGCUCGCUCCAGAGGACAUGAGCAAGGAGCAGGUGGAGGAGCAUGUCAGCCGCAUCCGGGAGGAGCUGGACCGUGAGCGGGAGGAACGAAACUACUUCCAGCUGGAGCGGGACAAGAUCCACACCUUCUGGGAGAUCACACGGAGGCAGCUGGAGGAGAAGAAGGCUGAGCUGCGGAACAAAGACCGGGAGAUGGAAGAAGCCGAGGAGAGGCACCAGGUGGAGAUCAAGGUGUACAAGCAGAAAGUGAAGCACCUGCUAUAUGAGCACCAGAACAACCUGACAGAGAUGAAGGCCGAGGGCACCGUAGUCAUGAAGCUGGCACAGAAAGAGCACCGCACACAGGAGGGUGUGCUGCGCAAGGACAUGCGGGCACUGAAGGUGGAGCUCAAGGAGCAGGAGCUGGCCAAUGAGGUGGUGGUGAAGAACCUGCGGCUGAAAUUGAGGCCAAGUAUGAUAAGAAGAUGAAGAUGCUGAGGGACGAGCUCGACUUGCGGAGAAAGACUGAGCUCCACGAAGUAGAGGAGAGGAAGAAUGGCCAGAUCCACACGCUGAUGCAGCGCCACGAGGAGGCCUUCACCGACAUUAAGAACUACUACAACGACAUCACCCUCAACAACCUGGCCCUCAUCAACUCCCUCAAGGUGCUGUGCGUGGGCUGGGCUGGGCUGGGGAGGCACACUCUGCCUGUCCUAGAAUGUGGGCUGCAGAGUCCUGGGGAUCCAGACCCCAGCUCUCCACCCCAACACACCCAGUACUUUUUAUAAGAUUAUUUGACAAUGCCCCUCUCAUAUCCUUAACUGAAAUUCCUAAAUAACGUAACCUAUCUCUACCUAUGGUUAAAAGCAGUCAGGAUAUUGCCCUCACCGUAGUGCAGAGGGGGAAGUAAUAAAGUGUGUUCUGGUUUGUAAAAGCUCAGAUGGAACCGCAGUGAGGGCCGUGAUGUGGCUGGAGUGGAUAGGUGUCAUAGUCACUGCCUGCGACAGGUG
rnacentral:sRNA from 1 species